rnacentral:lncRNA from 1 species
AGGGAGGGGCGGCGGCUAGGGUUUGGGAGGCGUUCGGGCGGAGGGAGCCGGCCGCACGCGGGAUGAUGGGAGGGAGGAAGCAUACUGAUCUGGGCGUCCGAUCCAGCGUAGAUCGAUUCAGACAGUUGGAUGUGUAACAUGAGUAUGAAUACGAGUAAAAUUAGUUGGUGUAAACGAAUCCGAUUCUGAGUGGCAAGUAACAUAAAUUAUCCUU